rnacentral:rRNA from 1 species
UACGAAGGGGGCUAGCGUUGCUCGGAAUCACUGGGCGUAAAGCGCACGUAGGCGGACUCUUAAGUCGGGGGUGAAAUCCUGGAGCUCAACUCCAGAACUGCCUUCGAUACUGAGAGCCUUGAGUCCGGGAGAGGUGAGUGGAACUGCGAGUGUAGAGGUGAAAUUCGUGGAUAUUCGCAAGAACACCAGUGGCGAAGGCGGCUCACUGGCCCGGUACUGACGCUGAGGUGCGAAAGCGUGGGGAGCAAACAGG